rnacentral:rRNA from 1 species
GAUGAACGCUGGCGGCGUGCCUAAUACAUGCAAGUCGAGCGAACGGACGAGAAGCUUGCGUUUCUGAUGUUAGCGGCGGACGGGUGAGUAACACGUGGAUACCCUACCUAUAAUACGGGGAUAACUUCGGGAAACCGGAGCUAAUACCGUAUAAUAUUUUGAACCGCAUGGGUCAAAAGAGAAAUACGGUCUUGCUGGCACUUAUAGAUGGAUCCGCGCUGCAUUAGCUAGUUGGUAAGGUAACGGCUUACCAAGGCGACGAGGCAUAGCCGACCUGAGAGGGUGAUCGGCCACACUGGAACUGAGACACGGUCCAGACUCCUACGGGAGGCAGCAGUCGGGAAUCUUCCGCAAUGGGCGAAAGCCUGACGGAGCAACGCCGCGUGAGUGAUGAAGGUCUUCGGAUCGUAAAACUCUGUUAUUAGGGAAGAACAUAUGUGUACGUAAAUGUGCACAUCUUGACGGUACCUAAUCAGAAAGCCACGGCUAACUACGUG